GACGAACGCUGGCGGCGGGCUUAACACAUGCAAGUCGAACGGAAAGGCCCUGCUUUUGUGGGGUGCUCGAGUGGCGAACGGGUGAGUAACACGUGAGUAACCUGCCCUUGACUUUGGGAUAACUUCAGGAAACUGGGGCUACUACCGGAUAGGAGCUCCUGCUGCAUGGUGGGGGUGGGAAAGUUUCGGCGGUUGGGGAUGGACUCGCGGCUUAUCAGCUUGUUGGUGGGGUAGUGGCUUACCAAGGCUUUGACGGGUAGCCGGCCUGAGAGGGUGACCGGCCACAUUGGGACUGAGGUACGGACCAGACUCCUACGGGAGGCAGCAGUGGGGAAUAUUGCCCAAUGGGCGGAAGCCUGAUGCAGCAACGCCGCGUGCGGGAUGACGGCCUUCGGGUUGUAAACCGCUUUCGCCUGUGACGAAGCGGGAGUGACGGUAAUGGGUAAAGAAGCACCGGCUAACUACGUG
rnacentral:rRNA from 1 species